rnacentral:rRNA from 1 species
GACGAACGCUGGCGGCGUGCUUAACACAUGCAAGUCGAACGAUGAUGCCCAGCUUGCUGGGUGGAUUAGUGGCGAACGGGUGAGUAACACGUGAGUAACCUGCCCCUGACUCUGGGAUAAGCGUUGGAAACGACGUCUAAUACUGGAUAUGAUCACUGGCCGCAUGGUCUGGUGGUGGAAAGAUUUUUUGGUUGGGGAUGGACUCGCGGCCUAUCAGCUUGUUGGUGAGGUAAUGGCUCACCAAGGCGACGACGGGUAGCCGGCCUGAGAGGGUGACCGGCCACACUGGGACUGAGACACGGCCCAGACUCCUACGGGAGGCAGCAGCGGGGAAUAUUGCACAAUGGGCGAAAGCCUGAUGCAGCAACGCCGCGUGAGGGAUGACGGCCUUCGGGUUGUAAACCUCUUUUAGUAGGGAAGAAGCGAAAGUGACGGUACCUGCAGAAAAAGCACCGGCUAACUACGUGCCAGCAGCCGCGGUAAUACGUAGGGUGCAAGCGUUGUCCGGAAUUAUUGGGCGUAAAGAGCUCGUAGGCGGUUUGUCGCGUCUGCUGUGAAAUCCCGAGGCUCAACCUCGGGCUUGCAGUGGGUACGGGCAGACUAGAGUGCGGUAGGGGAGAUUGGAAUUCCUGGUGUAGCGGUGGAAUGCGCAGAUAUCAGGAGGAACACCGAUGGCGAAGGCAGAUCUCUGGGCCGUAACUGACGCUGAGGAGCGAAAGCAUGGGGAGCGAACAGGAUUAGAUACCCUGGUAGUCCAUGCCGUAAACGUUGGGCGCUAGAUGUAGGGACCUUUCCACGGUUUCUGUGUCGUAGCUAACGCAUUAAGCGCCCCGCCUGGGGAGUACGGCCGCAAGGCUAAAACUCAAAGGAAUUGACGGGGGCCCGCACAAGCGGCGGAGCAUGCGGAUUAAUUCGAUGCAACGCGAAGAACCUUACCAAGGCUUGACAUACACCGGAAACGGCCAGAGAUGGUCGCCCCCUUGUGGUCGGUGUACAGGUGGUGCAUGGUUGUCGUCAGCUCGUGUCGUGAGAUGUUGGGUUAAGUCCCGCAACGAGCGCAACCCUCGUUCUAUGUUGCCAGCGGGUUAUGCCGGGGACUCAUAGGAGACUGCCGGGGUCAACUCGGAGGAAGGUGGGGAUGACGUCAAAUCAUCAUGCCCCUUAUGUCUUGGGCUUCGCGCAUGCUACAAUGGCCGGUACAAAGGGCUGCGAUACCGUAAGGUGGAGCGAAUCCCAAAAAGCCGGUCUCAGUUCGGAUUGAGGUCUGCAACUCGACCUCAUGAAGUCGGAGUCGCUAGUAAUCGCAGAUCAGCAACGCUGCGGUGAAUACGUUCCCGGGCCU